rnacentral:lncRNA from 1 species
CUCUAUAUAAAACUGCUGAUUUUAGACUUAGAUAUAGAUGAAAUAAUGUCAUGAAAUUUUUCCAUUAGUAGUUUAUGCUAAAUAGCCAAGAAUUAUACUGUAUAUAUAAAGAUAUUCAGAUUAUAAUAUCAAAUGAGUUUUAUUUAAAUUUUCUUCUUAUGUUGAAUAAAUUAAAACAAUGGGAGCAAAAUGAUGCUUGGACCAACAGUCAAGAGGUAAGUAUUUUUUAUAUAAUAAUAACUAUGAUAAAAACAAAUGCAAUAUAUUUUAUAUAUAGAAGCUUCUGACUUAAAUAAUGCUGCAUUCAUGGCAAAGUUCCAAGUUGAAUUUUACAAGUCAAAUUUACAUAAGUAAAUUUUUAUGUAAUUAAAAUGAAAAUCCUUUUAUGUUUCAUGGCUAAUUUAUCUAUAAAGCAAGAGUUAUGGUAUACUUACUUAUCAAAAAACAUUGUUCUUAUACAAAUUAUCAUAUAAUAAUAAUUAUUGUAUCAUACAAUGAUGAUAUUAUUGAUAGUUAACUCUUAAUAGUAACAUUAGCUAUCAUUAUAGUAGUGUUAUAACUAUUAUUGCAGUAUUACCAUGUAAAAUUGUAGUAGUGGACUAUAUACAAAAUUAUAGAGAUAUUUUAGAAAUAUUUUGCAUGUCAGAAUUUUUUACACAAUUCAAAUUUGCAUAAAUUGGGGGCUCCUGUACAAGGUUUGUCUGGAAAGCAAUGCAAUUUGUCUUUUCCCGCCACUCCUCCUGGUGGUAGCACAUUUAGACUGGUUGGGUUAGGUGGAAAGGACUCUUAGCUUUACAACGCUUACAAGAUCAGUCUGCUCCGAGCUCUGAGAGUGUCAGAAUCGCUGUUUCUGUAAACCUCCUGUUAGUGCUUGUGUCACGACAUCCAAUGGAAAAAGCUAUCAAACAACAUU